GUUCUUGCCCAAACCCAGACCAGUGAUGUAAUGCUUCUGCACCACCACCAUUAGAACCUAACCCCUUUCAAAAACCGCGCACUACUUCUCUUCUUCUCCAUCUUCUCCACUUCUAUGCUCUGCUCGCUCUUCACUUGCUCUUCAAGUCACAGUCACACACACGCACCGAACGCGAAAUUCUCUUCAAUCUACCGACGACGACCUCGAGAAGAAGAACCACCACUACAAAAUUCUCUCCACUCGACUCACAAUGACUUCAAUUGCGUUCGUCUCAUGUCCCAAGGUAUGUUUGAUCAGUGGAGCCCUUGUGGUUCAUGAACUUGAGGAUGACCUUGGAAAAGGAAGGUCUAUGCAAUAGAUGCAAUAGGCAUGCUACCUGACGAGCUCUGGAAUUUGGUUUACCUCACUAAUUUGAAAUUGGGACAAAAUUACUUGACAGGCCCUAUCUCUUCAGGCGUUAGAAACUUAACUCGGCAAACUUGCAUGCAAUACCUGUACUGUGGAACUUCAACUAAUCAUCAAAUAUACCACUAAUGAUA